rnacentral:rRNA from 1 species
UGAGGAAUAUUGGGUCAAUGGGGCGAGAGCCUGAACCAGCCAAGUAGCGUGCAGGAUGACGGCCCUAUGGGUUGUAAACUGCUUUUAUAAGGGAAUAAAGUGGGGCUCGUGAGCUCUUUUGCAUGUACCUUAUGAAUAAGGACCGGCUAAUUCCGUGCCAGCAGCCGCGGUAAUACGGAAGGUCCGGGCGUUAUCCGGAUUUAUUGGGUUUAAAGGGAGCGUAGGCCGCAGGUUAAGCGUGUUGUGAAAUGUAGGGGCUCAACCUCUGCACUGCAGCGCGAACUGGCUUACUUGAGUACGCACAACGUGGGCGGAAUUCGUGGUGUAGCGGUGAAAUGCUUAGAUAUCACGAAGAACUCCGAUCGCGAAGGCAGCUUGCCAAGCCAUAACUGACACUGAAGCACGAAAGUGUGGGUAU